rnacentral:rRNA from 1 species
CCUACGGGAGGCAGCAGUGGGGAAUAUUGCACAAUGGGGGAAACCCUGAUGCAGCGACGCCGCGUGAGUGAAGAAGUAUCUCGGUACGUAAAGCUCUAUCAGCAGGGAAGAUAAUGACGGUACCUGACCACGACGCCCCGGCUAACUACGUGCCAGCAGCGGCGGGAAUACGUAGGGGGCAAGCGUGAUCCGGAUUUUCUGGGUGUAAAGGGAGCUUAGACGGCAGCACAAGUCUGGCGUGAAUUCCCGGGGCUUAACCCCGGAACUGCUGUGGAAACUGGGAGGCUGGAGUGCAGGAGGGGUAAGCGGAAUUCCUAGUGUAGCGGUGAAAUGCGUAGAUAUUAGGAAGAACACCGAUGGCGAAGGCAGCUUACUGGACUGUAACUGACGUUGAGGCUCGAAAGCGUGGGGAGCAAACAGGAUUAGAUACCCCAGUAGUC